CGGAGGGUGCAAGCGUUAUCCGGAUUUACUGGGUUUAAAGGGUGUGUAGGCGGGCUUUUAAGUCAGUGGUGAAAUCUCCGAGCUCAACUUGGAAACUGCCAUUGAUACUAUUAGUCUUGAAUUCUGUUGAGGUUGGCGGAAUAAGUCAUGUAGCGGUGAAAUGCAUAGAUAUGACUUAGAACACCGAUUGCGAAGGCAGCUAACUAAGCAGAUAUUGACGCUGAGGCACGAAAGCGUGGGGAUCAAACAGGAUUAGAUACCCUGGUAGUCCACGCCCUAAACGAUGAUUACUCGACAUACGCGAUACACAGUGUGUGUCUGAGCGAAAGCAUUAAGUAAUCCACCUGGGAAGUACGACCGCAAGGUUG
rnacentral:rRNA from 1 species